UUCUUACUCCCUCCGUCCGAAAAUACUUGUCCGAGGAAUGGAUGUAUCUAGAUGUAUUUUAAUUCUACAUACAUCCAUUUGUAUCCAUUUUGACGACAAGUAUUUCCGGACGGAGGGAGUACUUA
rfam:Triticum aestivum genome assembly, contig: Triticum_aestivum_CS42_TGACv1_scaffold_458436_5DS